AUAUCACGCUGGAACACCGGUUACCGUACGAUCACCGAAGGUAAGCAACGUCGAGUCUGGUCAGUACAAAGAUAGGUGAUUGCUUAAGAAUACCAGGUGCUGUAAG